rnacentral:lncRNA from 1 species
AAAUACUUAGGAGUAAAGAGUUACGAGGGGUAGGAUGUCUGUAACUUACCUCACACGGUUCAGAAAAACUGUAUGUAGUGUUAUAUGUAAUAUCUAUGAGAAAUAAUGAGAAUGAAUUAAGGCAAAUGUGGCAAAAUGUUAAAUGAUGAGUCUAGGUGAACUGCACAUAGAAGUUUCUGUGCUAUUUUUUAAACUUUUUUAUAAAGAUAAAAUGAUUUGAAAGUAAAAAGUUUAAAAAGGUAAGGGUGGACGAAUGCUGAACCCUACUUUUCUUCCACAAGUCAAAUAUCCCUUUCCUCUUCCAUAUAAUCCCAGCUGUCUUGCCAUUAAAUUAUACUUGCUUGUGUUGCUGCUUUGGUGCACAGUUAGAGGAAGAAAAACAAAUAAUAUUAAGAAGGAUGUGGAACGUAACAUCUUUCAGCAUUCUCUUAGUCUCAACAAUCUGAUAAAGAUACUCAAAACAGAAUAAAAACUUUUCCUGUCAAGGUCCAGAUAGCAACUAUUUUAGGCUUUGCAGGCUACAUACAGUCCUAUAACAUUUCUCCUUUUCCCCCCAAUCACCUCUUUAUGCUUGUAGGCAUUACAAAAAUAGACUGUGGGCUGGAUUUGGAGACAGGUCAUAGUUUGCUGACCCCUGACAGAAUUAUUAAAUUUCUCUAAGAACUACAAGUAUCUCUAUUGGUCCCCGAAAAUAGCAAGGACAUUACUGAAUAAAUAAAGCAGCAAAAAUUUUAUCAGCGUGGUAGUCAGUUCUUAGGGCAGUAAACAGUUAAUAAAGUUAAACUUUAAACAAACAAACAAAAGAAGAACAUUUCUUAAAGUUUCUUCUGUAACUCUAAAGUUGUCACAUUUGGGUUUGGGGUUUUUUUGAGGGGUAAGAAUGGGGCAAGGGGGUCACUUACAUAAAGUUGCUGAUUUUCUUUUUGAGACAGAGCACCUCAGGAAAGAGAACGAAGAAAAAACAAGUUCCACUUGGGAAAAGUAAGACGGCCUAGAUUUUAGAACUGCGAUAUAAAACUGAAGGGGUGACAUUUUAGAGCCGUUCCUGUCUUAAUUCAUAUCAUUCCCACUCCGUACCCGGAUUCUCCAAAUUUAAAUGGUAUUUUUAAAAAAUAGUAUAGAAAAUCUAGGAAUUAGAAGUAUAUGCCUACACAUAGGCUUUGUAAUAAUUAUGUGAGCAAGGCCUACCCAAGUAGAACAUGGGCCUUUGGUAACAGCCAUGGGCCUUUAGCUAUCGAUGGCUUACUGACAUUUCAAGCAAUGAACUAAAAAGAGCUGACAAGACGCAAUGCAUUGAUUUAAAUGCCACUCUCCUAGGUCUUAUUAUUUUAAAUGCCAGCAAGUCUUAGGGAAAAUGGAUCCACCAUUUUAAAUGUUUAUACUCUCUAAGAUCAGUCAUCUAAAAAGAAACCUUCUUACUUCAGGUAAGUUACUGCUUUUUACAUUAACCAAAUACGCAUUGUUGUGCUUACAAUGCUUACUGUAUGUCAUUAUGUUACCUUCAAUUUUGUCAAGCAGGUUAAAGAAUUGGAAAACAAAGUUUGAAACCUGAAUACCUAUCAAGGGUUAAAGUAUUAGAGAUAUACAACAAACUUAACUAUGAAUGACUCCUGUCAGUGUAUCUAAUUGUUGUUACUGUACAUGGAAAUUAAGCUUAAAGUACAAGUGGCAAAUGACUAUUAUUACCAUAUAUGUAACUCACCAGUAUUUAUAAUCAGAAUUUCUUGCCAUAAUUUUUCUUCUAUGACACUCGUAUAGUUAUUAAAACAUUGAAAGACAAAUGUAAGCCAUCCCAGUCAAUACCAAGGGUUUCUUAUAUCCUUCCACUAGUUGGAAAAGUUUAUACUAUCCCAAUUCUCAGCCACAAUCCAGGCUCAAUUAAAAGACUUACUGAAUUUUUCUUUUGUGUGCAUAUGCAUGUCUUUUGUCUUUUUAGGGCCGCACCUGAGACAUAUGGAGUGGGAGCAGCCCUAGAAAAGGCAAAAAACACACACACACAAAAAAGAAAUGAGGAACUUAAUAAAGCUUUUAAAAGAAAAACGUAAAAAAUACAAGGGCUAAGAUUUAACACUGUUAAGAUGUCAAUGCUACCACAAAUCAUCCACAUAGUUAAUGUAACCUCGAUCAAAAUCUUAAAGGUGUUUUUUUUUUUUUUUUUUUUUAAGGGCCACACCCACAGCAUAUGGAGGAUCCCAGGCUGGGGGUCGAAUUGGAGCUGUAGCUAUUGGUCCACAGCCACAGCAGCACUGGAUCCAAGCCACGUCUGUGAUCUACACUACAGUUCAGAGCAAUGCCAGAUCCUUA